rnacentral:ncRNA from 1 species
GAAAAAACAUAUGAAAUCGGUACAAAUAAUGUAUUUGUUUAAAAGGGAAACUAGUGUGAAUCUAGUGCUGUCCCGCAACUGUAAUUGAUUGAGCGCCUCUAUUACCACUGUUUCGUUUCAUCGUGAAAUGGGAAGGAGAGGUUGUUUGUAUAUCAAAAGCCAGGAGACCUGCCAUUUCAUUCAUUUAUUG